rnacentral:misc_RNA from 1 species
UAAGUCAAGAUCAAAGCACUACUAGAAAAUGCUUUCUUUACUACAUAUGGUCCCUCAUAAGUUCAUGACCAUUUACCUCAGGGGUCACUUUAGUUUGGCAAUAUUUUCUUCAAAAUAAGAUCUCCAGGCUGAAAUUGUCAAGGUCAUACCUUCUUAUCAAAAGCCCUAGCCAUUCUACUUUGGUAUAAUUGCCCAUGACAAAUUGCUGUUAGUCUUUUCUCAUCAAUCAAAUUUAGUUGGUCAAGUCUUAUUUUGACCCAUUCAGUUUCAUCCAAAUUUGCCUCCAUCAAG